rnacentral:rRNA from 1 species
CAAAGCACAAAAUAACAAAAUACCAAAUACACUACACAAACUCCUAAUAACUAACUGAGCCAGCCUAUCGAAAUAGGCGAACUACUGCUAAAACUAGUAACAAGAAAACUUCUCUUGGCACACGCGUGAAUCAGAAAUAGAAAACCUACUGAUAAUUAACAGACCGAAAUUGGCCAAACAUAGUCAAUAUUGUUUUAAACUGUCACACCAACACAGGCGUGCCACAAAGAAAGAUUAAAAGCCACAGAAGGAACUCAGCAAAAUAUUGUCCCAACUGUUUACCAAAAACAUAGCCUUUAGCCAAAAAGUAUUAAAGGUAACGCCUGCCCAGUGAAACAUUUUUUAACGGCCGCGGUAUUCUAACCGUGCAAAGGUAGCGUAAUCACUUGUCUUCUAAAUAAAGACCAGUAUGAACGGCUAAAUGAGGACAAAUCUGUCUCCUGUGGCCAAUCAGUGAAACUGAUCUCCCAGUACAAAAGCUGGCAUACCCACAUAAGACGAGAAGACCCUGUGGAGCUUAAAACACACCACUAAUAAAUAUCACAUUAACUAGUAUAAAGUUUUGAGUUGGGGCGACUUCGGAACAAAACAAAACUUCCGAGCACAGAACCACUAUUUCUUACCGAGGCUCACAAGCCAAAGCAUACACUGACCCAGUAACACUGAUCAACGAACCAAGUUACCCCAGGGAUAACAGCGCCAUCUUCUUCAAGAGUCCCUAUCGACAAGAAGGUUUACGACCUCGAUGUUGGAUCAGGACACCCCAUUGGUGCAGCCGCUAUUAAAGGUUCGUUUGUUCAACGAUUAAUAGU